rnacentral:rRNA from 1 species
GACGAACGCUGGCGGCGUGCUUAACACAUGCAAGUCGAACGGAAAGGCCCUUCGGGGUACUCGAGUGGCGAACGGGUGAGUAACACGUGGGUGAUCUGCCCUGCACUUUGGGAUAAGCCUGGGAAACUGGGUCUAAUACCGAAUAGGACCACGGCCUUCAUGGGUUGUGGUGGAAAGCUUUUGCGGUGUGGGAUGGGCCCGCGGCCUAUCAGCUUGUUGGUGGGGUAAUGGCCUACCAAGGCGACAACGGGUAGCCGGCCUGGGAGGGUGACCGGCCACACUGGGACUGAGAUACGGCCCAGACUCCUACGGGAGGCAGCAGUGGGGAAUAUUGCACAAUGGGCGCAAGCCUGAUGCAGCGACGCCGUGUGAGGGAUGACGGCCUUCGGGUUGUAAACCUCUUUCAGCAGGGACGAAGCGCAAGUGACGGUACCUGUAGAAGAAGGACCGGCCAACUACGUGCCAGCAGCCGCCGUAA